UGGCUGUUCUGUUGGUGUGGAAAAAUCCAGCUACGUCUAAUAAGAAGGACGUUGAUAUAUAUAUACUGUCUCUGUCUCUGUAUUAAGUCCAAUAGAGAAUAGACAAUAGUGGUAAAGGAUAGAGAAGAAGAAGAUCCGUAUACAGAUGAUGGUGGAGCUAUUUGUGUUGGGGUGCACGGGAGUUGUGGUGUUCCUUCACGGCGCCAGUUUCUUCUUCCACCUCCUUACCCAACACUUUGCUCUUCGAUCUCUCAGUUUUCUGGGAUUUGUUGGGUGGUAGAAGCAAACAAAAGUAUUAAGAGCUGCCAGAGAUGAUAGAUUGGUCGCCGCCCCGCAUGUUGUUUUGUUUAUGAAGUGUAGGAGGACACCCCAAUAUUCCCAAGCAGUGGUUAAUUAUCUUUUAGUUUAGUUUAAUUAGCAUAUGAUGAUAUGAUCAUCUUGUAAUUAAUGCCAAAUGAUAAUAAAGCUCAAGAAAGGUAAAGCCUUUUCAUUGAGUGCUAGCUUCUGAGCUAAACCAUCUUGUCAAUUUUGAUAUCCUUCUAAGCUAAUACAAGUUGCAACACACACUAACACAGGUUGCUUCCAAUUUUGAUA